rfam:Danio rerio chromosome 4, GRCz11 reference primary assembly.
GCUCGGCUAGCUCAGUCGGUAGAGCAUGAGCCUCUUAAUCUCAGGGUCGUGGGUUAGAUCCCCACGUUGGGCA